GGUCUCUGAAACCAGCGAGCGUUGCCUAGGGGCGUUAGAGAGCGCGACGACGCAGAGACUAUGAAAGGCACCUGGACGCUUGACCAGCGCGCAUCCCCCUCCUGGAUUCCUUACCUUGACUCGGCAGUUGAAGGAAGGCGUCUGUGAGGCUGAGGAAACACACACGCAGCAGCCACGCCGAGAAAAAGAGCCUCUGCUAAGCAGAGGGACCACUCCGGCUGCCGGAAACCCGCGGCAGCGGAAAACCCGAUCUCCUCUGAAGGCCCGGGGUUUUAAAGGCUCAGAAGAGACUUCCUCCCGCACCUCAGGGCUGGCUCCCUCAGCUCAACCAGAUCCUGCCGCCACCCCACCCCCACCCCAUCCUGGUCUUUGACUCAAAUUCCGGCCUUCCUGGACUGCCACGGCAACCCUCCCCAGCUAAGAAGCAGCUACAGAAGAGAGACACUACAUCACCCCUUAUCAUCAACAAAAGGCUGGACCACGAGUUCUCACAGCUGUCCAAAUAGACAGAAAUGAGCUCAAGCUGGACUUGAGGAGGAUUUCUGGAGACUAGAUAAAAGACAGCGUUUCUCAGGAACUUGGGAAACCAGUUCCCAUCUGCCAGAAGCUGUCUUUUCCCUUUCCUCUGGCAGAAGGGACAUAUGGCUCCAUUGAGCCAUACGUGGCUGCAUAUCAAAGCCAUGCCAGCCGCUGGGCUUUCUCAAUCCCUGCUCAUAAGUACUUGUUAUACAUUUCAAAGGCCCCACACCAGUCUCCUGGCCUCCCUUCCCAGCUACCCACCCUCCUUACUAUUCUCUUUCUGGUUAUCUGCUGACUAGCUCUUAUUCCUAUACCCCCACUAUGCUCGCUCGCUUGCUCUCUCUCUCUCUCUCUCUCUCUCUCUCUCUCUCUCUCUCUCUCUCUCACUAUCUCCACUCUUCUCUCCUCCUCUCCCGCUUCCCUGACCCUGGCCACAUCCAGUCUGCUGGCCAUGGUCGGUCUACAUCUUUUUCUCUGUGCUCUGGACUCCUCCAGAGGUCUCUGGCUGUUCUCACUCUCAUUGUCUACGAUAAAAAAGCUUAACCGUAUCACGGAGCCAUCCCGCCAGCAGUUGCUCCACUGCAUCCCCUCGUAUACGAGAAUUAAAGCCAUGAACCUUUGAAAACAU